GCCCAGCCGUAAACUUUUAUUUACAUCCAAAUCGCCCGGGAACUACGAGCUAAGCUUAAAACCCAAAGGACUUGACGGUACCCCAUAUCCCCCUAGAGGAGCCUGUCCUAUAAUCGAUAAUCCACGUUUAACCUCACCGCUUCUAGUUAAUCAGCCUGUAUACCUCCGUCGUCAGCUUACCACGUGAGCGUAAAUUAGUGAGCCCAAUGUUAUUUCACCAACACGUCAGGUCAAGGUGCAGCAAAUGAAGUGGGAAGAGAUGGGCUACACUUUCUAUUUUAGAAGAAACGAAAAACUACUUAUGAAACCUAGUUAGAAGGCGGAUUUAGCAGUAAAAAGAAAUCAGCAUGUUCAUUUUAACCCGGCACUGGGGUGUGU
rnacentral:rRNA from 1 species